AGAAUGACUAGCAGUAAGUUUCUGGAGGGAAAUAUGACCCAAAAGAAGAAAUAAAAACAUAACGGUUGAAAUCCUCUUUGAAAAGUGACUUUUCUUCUGAUUCACCACAAGCUUUUCUUCAGAGCUGCGUCUGGCAGCAGCUGUGUCAGUACCUGCUUUGGGGUAGGUGGCGAUGAAGAUGUCCGAGGGGUCCGGACGAAAAGCCUGGAUAGAGUCAAAGUUGUUGGCGAUGUAGUUCAUGAGAGGAAUCCCUCUGAUCGGGAUGAGAGGGAAGCGAGAGAUGGAGUCGUUGGCCUUCUGAAUGGCCUCGCUGUAGGACACCUCUUCCUGCUCGGACAUGGCUGACACUGUCAAGAAGAAGCCAACAAGCAGAAGCUAAAAUUCAACUGCAAAGUGAUCCAAGCAACAGCAGUGGGCCGGUUCUUCUGGGAGAUCCUCUCUCAGCUGCAGCUUCCAAGCCUUUGUCAAACAUUCAGUGUUGACUGGUUCAUAAAUUCCAACGUGGGAAACCUCUUCCUGUUUUGUCAAGCCCACGAUCCGUGUGUUUGAAUCCUGGUCACUCCUCUUGGGUCUGCUGCUCAGAGCUGUCCUGGUUUUGUCUCCUCUUGCUUUAAACCCCUCUCCAACAUCUGCAUCCAAUAGCAGGAGUCUCUCUGCAGU